rnacentral:piRNA from 1 species
ACAAAGCGCUUGCCAUGCAUGCAUGAGGACA